GGUUCUGUACCUCAGCGGUCAGAGCGUGUGGCUGUUAACCACAAGGUCGAGGGUGCGAUCCCCUCUGGAACUG